GAUGAAGAACGCAGCAAAAUGCGAUAAGUAAUGUGAGUUGCAGAAUUCAGUGAAUCAUCGAAUCUUUGAACGCACAUUGCGCCCGCCAGUAUUCUGGCGGGCAUGCCUGUUCGAGCGUCAUUUCAACCCUCAAGCACAGCUUGGUGUUGGGACUCGCGUUAAUUCGCGUUCCCCAAAUUGAUUGGCGGUCACGUCGAGCUUCCAUAGCGUAGUAGUAAAACCCUCGUUACUGGUAAUCGUCGCGGCCACGCCGUUAAACCCCAACUUCUGAAUGUUGACCUCGGAUCAGGUAGGAAUACCCGCUGAACUUAAGCAUAUCAAUAAGCGGAGGA
rnacentral:misc_RNA from 1 species